rnacentral:rRNA from 1 species
UACGUAGGGUGCAAGCGUUAAUCGGAAUUACUGGGCGUAAAGCGUGCGCAGGCGGCUAUGUAAGUCAGAUGUGAAAUCCCCGGGCUCAACCUGGGAACUGCAUUUGUGACUGCAUAGCUAGAGUUCGGUAGAGGGGGAUGGAAUUCCGCGUGUAGCAGUGAAAUGCGUAGAUAUGCGGAGGAACACCGAUGGCGAAGGCAAUCCCCUGGACCUGUACUGACGCUCAUGCACGAAAGCGUGGGGAGCAAACAGG